GUGGGGAAUCUUCCGCAAUGGACGAAAGUCUGACGGAGCGACGCCGCGUGAGUGAAGAAGGCCUUCGGGUCGUAAAGCUCUGUCAUCAGGGACGAACGGCCGGUGGAGUGGAAAGCCACCGGAUUGACGGUACCUGAGAAGGAAGCCACGGCUAACUACGUGCCAGCAGCCGCGGUAAUACGUAGGUGGCAAGCGUUGUCCGGAAUUAUUGGGCGUAAAGCGCGCGCAGGUGGGAUCUUAAGUCCAUUUUGAAAGUUCGGAGCUCAACUCCGUGAUGGGAUGGAAACUGGGAUUCUUGAGUACCGGAGAGGAAAGCGGAAUUCCCCGUGUAGCGGUGAAAUGCGUAGAUAUGGGGAGGAACACCAGUGGCGAAGGCGGCUUGCUGGACAUUAACUGACGCUGAGGCGCGAAAGCGUGGGGAGCAAACAGGAUUAGAAACCCUGGUAGUCC
rnacentral:rRNA from 1 species